CCUGGGGAUCUUGCGCAUGGGGGCAGCCUGACUGCAGCGACGCCGCGUGGGUGAUGAAGGCCUUCGGGUUGUAACCCCUUUUGUGGGGGACGAUAGUGCUGGGGCCCAUUGGAUUGGCCCCUGCCUAUUCCGUGCCAACGGCCCCCGGGAUCAAUCCGGGCCA
rnacentral:rRNA from 1 species